CUACGAAAGAAUUGACGGACCCGCACAAGCAGCGGAGCGUGUGGUUUAAUUCGAGGCUACACGAAGAACCUUACCAGGGUUUGACAUGCAAGUGGUAGGAAUCCGAAAGGUGACCGACCCUUCGGGGAGCUUGCACAGGUGCUGCAUGGCUGUCGUCAGCUCGUGUCGUGAGAUGUUCGGUUAAGUCCGCUAACGAGCGCAACCCUCGUCGUGUGUUAUACGUGUCACACGAUACUGCCGGUAUCAAGCCGGAGGAAGGUGGGGAUGAUGUCAAGUCAGCAUGGCCUUUAUAUCCUGGGCUACACACACGCUACAAUGGCAGAUACAAUAGGUUGCGAAACCGCGAGGUGGAGCCAAUCCUCAAAGUCUGUCUCAGUUCAGAUUGUAGGCUGCAACUCGCCUGCAUGAAGUUGGAGUUGCUAGUAAACGCAGGUCAGCUAUACUGCGUUGAAUACGUUCCCGGGGUUU
rnacentral:rRNA from 1 species